GCCUCCGUGGCGCAAUUGGUUAGCGCGUUCGGCUGUUAACGAAAGGUUGGUGGUUCAAGCCCACCCGGGGCG
rnacentral:tRNA from 1 species